AGUAACACGUGAGUAAUCUGCCCCUGGCUUCGGGAUAGCCACCGGAAACGGUGAUUAAUACCGGAUGUGACAGACCCUCGCAUGGGGGUGUGUGGAAAGUUUUUCGGCCAGGGAUGUGCUCGCGGCCUAUCAGCUUGAUGGUGAGGUAAUGGCUCACCAUGGCUUCGACGGGUAGCCGGCCUGAGAGGGUGACCGGCCACACUGGGACUGAGACACGGCCCAGACUCCUACGGGAGGCAGCAGUGGGGAAUAUUGGACAAUGGGCGGAAGCCUGAUCCAGCAACGCCGCGUGAGGGAUGACGGCCUUCGGGUUGUAAACCUCUUUCAGUACCGACGAAGCGCAAGUGACGGUAGGUACAGAAGAAGCACCGGCCAACUACGUGCCAGCAGCCGCGGUAAUACGUAGGGUGCGAGCGUUGUCCGGAAUUAUUGGGCGUAAAGGGCUCGUAGGCGGUUUGUCGCGUCGGGAGUGAAAACGCCGUGCUUAACACGGCGCUUGCUUCCGAUACGGGCAGACUAGAGGUAUUCAGGGGAGAACGGAAUUCCUGGUGUAGCGGUGAAAUGCGCAGAUAUCAGGAGGAACACCGGUGGCGAAGGCGGUUCUCUGGGAAUGACCUGACGCUGAGGAGCGAAAGUGUGGGGAGCGAACAGGAUUAGAUACCCUGGUAGUCCACACCGUAAACGUUGGGCGCUAGGUGUGGGGUCCAUUCCACGGAUUCCGUG
rnacentral:rRNA from 1 species